rnacentral:lncRNA from 1 species
GGGCGGGCCGGGUGGGGCGGGCUCUGGACCGCAGGUUUUGGCGCUCCUUCGCACCGGGCUCUCUGCGGCCGAAGUUUCAGGCGUAUGCUAAUAACCCCCGGCGCGUGGCUGAGUGUGAGCGAGCGUGUGGGACGUCGGGAGGCGUCGUGGAUUAACUGAACCGCCACACUCGGCUGUCCCUUGUCUGGACCAAAACUGCUGACUGACCCUGGCGGUCACAUUUGCCCUCUGGGGUUUUUGAAAACCUUAAAUCAAAGUUACUUUUCUCCCUGGCAACUCCCAAGGCUACUUCCGCGGCCUCUGGGCUGUGAACUGAUAAGGACGUGAGUUUUCCCGACCAGGGGUGAGCAUACCAGUGACAAAUCAGCUCUCUAGAGGAAGGACCAGGGUAAGAAGCCCAUGAAGAAGCAGAUUGGUAUGCAUUUAAGCAAGGAAUUCUGGAGUCCCAGGUCGGAGGAGAGGGAGCCCAGAAGAGAAGAGUGCACCUGGCCGGCAGCAUGGAUGAAGGACAGCAGAAUGGGUGGAGGAGGUCCCACAGAAGUGAUGGUAUCACAGGUUAGAGGGGAAAAGAAAGAAAGGCGACCUGCAGUGUGGGCCAAGUUUGUGGCUGGCAACAUGCUGAGCACCUAACGUGCACUAUCUCAUCUCAUCCAAAUAAUGACUUUACAAGAUAGAUAUUAUGAUGGCUUCCAUUUUGUUGAAGCUGAGAGCUAAGUCCUUUUUUUAGGGUAAUGGAACUACUAAAUGAUAGAACAAGAAUUCCUGCCUGGUUUCAUACAACUCUCAGUCUAACUCCUUAUCCCGUACCGUGGUACCAUUUGAAGAAAAAAAACUCUGUUGAUCCUCAAAACCAUGGUUAGUUUUCUUAUUAUGACUUGGUAACAAGCACACUAAAAUAAUACUAUUAGUUUUCAUCUUGGCCUAAUGUGUCUUUUAUUCUGUGAGGCCAUAUUCCCUUUUCCUAAAUCGUAUAUGGAUUGAAAAUCUGUUUUUUUUUGUGUGUGUGUGUGGGUUUUUUUGAAUAAUUAGACUGAACUCUAUGUUAAAUAUGAUGUUGGUAGUGGAAAUGUACACAUUUAGAGUGUAAUGUUCGGUGUGUCCCUUGUGCCCUAAUGAUUAGGGUGGAGAGGCAUGGAGAUGAAAUUUGAGGAUUUUAGAGAAAUUCUUGCAUAAAAUAUAUGAAAAUAAAACCCUGUUUUGUUUCA